rnacentral:rRNA from 1 species
GGUGUUUACUGUCGAACUGAACACUCUACCGUUUACUGUCUGGUGGUGCUCUUCACCGAGUGUCACCAGUGGUCGGUACGUUUACUUUGAAAAAAUUAGAGUGCUCAAAGCGGUUUUUACACGACCGAAUACUGUUGCAUGGAAUAAUGAAAUAGGACUUUGGUUCUAUUUUGUUGGUCUUCGGAACCAAGGUAAUGAUUAAGAGGGACAGACGGGGGCAUUAGUAUUGCGACGCUAGAGGUGAAAUUCUUGGACCGUCGCAAGACUAACUAAAGCGAAAGCAUUUGCCAAGAAUGUUUUCAUUAAUCAAGAACGAAAGUUAGAGGUUCGAAGGCGAUCAGAUACCGCCCUAGUUCUAACCAUAAACGAUGCCAACCAGCAAUCAGCCUGUGUUCUCUUGAUGACACGGCUGGCGGCUUCCGGGAAACCAAAGUCUUUCGGUUCCAGGGGAAGUAUGGUUGCAAAGCUGAAACUUAAAGGAAUUGACGGAAGGGCACCACCAGGAGUGGAGCCUGCGGCUUAAUUUGACUCAACACGGGGAAACUCACCCGGCCCGGACACUGUGAGGAUUGACAGGUUGAAGCCCUUUCUUGAUUCAGUGGGUGGUGGUGCAUGGCCGUUCUUAGUUGGUGGAGUGAUUUGUCUGGUUAAUUGCGAUAACGAACGAGACCUUAACCUGCUAAAUAGCCCGUAUUGCUUUGGCAGUACGCCGGCUUCUUAGAGGGACUAUCGG